GACCGUAAAAUAUUCAAAUUAAAAGGACUUAUGUAGGCACUCAAUGUUACCGCCAUUAUGUUACAUUGUUGUCUGCCAUGGAAGGCAAGGAGGCGAGCCAA